AAAAACAUUUGUUAAUAUACGAGUAUACAUCAUCUAGUUAAAUAUAAGUUUUCUAUUAUUAGUUUAUUUAAUAUUAUUAUGUAUCUUUUAUGUAAUAAAAUAUGCAAAUUCUUUUCUAGUAUAAUCCAUUUGUCCUUACUUGGCUCUAAAGGUAAACAAUCUUUGUGUGUUUUUUUAUUAGAAUUUAUUUAAAAACUAGGUUUUAAAAUAAAACAUAACAACCAAUGAAAGCUAACAUAAUUUCAUAUUGAACCAUUUAUUUUAGCUGUAGAUUACUUGUUUAAUAAUAUUUUGAUUAAAAGACACAAUCAAAGUAUGGUGCAAUCCGUGCAAUCGAAUGUAUUAUUGUAUGAUAGUUAUUGUAGUAUUAAGCAGUGCAUACAGUAGUGUAGGAUUAUAGUUAGUAUGACCAUUACCGCCCUAAGGCAUGCGCGCGGCGAGACGGUGGGAGAAAUCGGCUACUUCGCUCUGGCACGCUCGUGGCGGCCCCGCCCCGCACGUCCCCCGCAGGCCGCAGUGCACAGCGGUAAUGGUCACACUAUAGUAGUAGCAAGUAUAAUAUAAAGUAUGCACCGAAGAAAACUAAAGUACCUUAGAAACUUGUUUUUUAAUCUCGGAUACUAAGUUAAGGUGAUAGAUCGUUCGUUCGGUGACAUAUCGGCGGGACAAUCGGCUGUUGAUGAACCGUUCAGAAUUUGAAUCAUUGAUAAACCGUCAAGUCAGUAUCUGAAAUUUAAAAAAAAAUAUUAGUUGUAGCAAUAGUUUUUAGCAAAAGACUUAUGUUGGAUAGAACAAACCUAUUAUUUUGAUAACAUUUUAGAACAUACCUAUUAUUAUAAUCUUAAUCAUAUAUUAUUUCUAAUUUUAGAUGGUAACGACACAAAUGGCUUGUGUGGUUCUAACUCGCAGAGAGAGUUAGAUAAUGUUAACAUAUCCGCAGCAACAGACAUUAAGUACCUAUAGUUCACUACAUUUUUUUUAGUUUCAGGGACCAUUCCUGAUGAUAUCACGACCGCAGAAUGUACAGUUCGUAUUCCGGAAGUCAUAUCACCUAGCUGUUCAAGAAGGUCCAAUCUGAAAUCAGAAACCAAGAAGGCAAGGAAAAGACUAAUAAAAAGUGUACAACAAUUAACCCCCACAUGCAAGAAAAUGUACCAAAAAUGCUCGACUAUACUGAAAUCCCGUCGCCGUAUAGUUCAGUCAUACCAGGAGCGAAUAGAAAAAGCUGAAAAACUCAAUCAGAAUAAAUCUUUUUCUGAGCUUGUAGAGAAACUGACUCCUCAAGCCAAGACAUUCCUUAAAAUGCAGGUCACGCUCGCCAAUAGACAUAUAAAAAGACGGAGGUUCACAACUGAACAGAAACUCUUGGCUCUAUCACUCCAAAAGCAAAGUCCGAAAGGAUAUAAAUUGCUGCACAAGAUAUUUUUCUUGCCUAGCAGGCGCACUCUAAGAAAACUACUCAUCAUAUUUCUCUUGCACCAGGAAUAAAUGAAAACAUAUUUACACAACUAAAGGAGUCAGUUCGGAAUUGGGAUGACAAAAAAAGUGCUGUUUCAUUGUGUUUGAUGAAGUGGCGUUGACACCUCAUUUGACAUUCUUAGGCCCUGUUUCACAAUGUCUGGAUAGUGGCUAACUGUAAGAUAAAAGACAUGCUGUCACUCUCUGUUAUUAUAUUUUUGACAGUGACAGCAUGUAUUUUAUCUCACAGGUAGCCACUAACCAGACAUUGUGAAACAGCGCCAUAGAAUCUGAAGAUCGCAUUGACGGUUUUGUGA